rnacentral:rRNA from 1 species
GACGAACGCUGGCGGCGUGCUUAACACAUGCAAGUCGAACGGAAAGGCCCUGCUUUUGUGGGGUGCUCGAGUGGCGCAGGGGCGAGUAACACGUGAGUAACCUGCCCUUGACUUUGGGAUAACUUCACGAAACUGCGGCUAAUACCGGAUAGGAGCUCCUGCUGCAUGGUGGGGGUUGGAAAGUUUCGGCGGUUGGGGAUGGACUCGCGGCUUAUCAGCUUGUUGGUGGGGUAGUGGCUUUCCAAGGGUUUGACGGGUAGCCGGCCUGAGAGGGUGACCGGCCACAUGGGGACUGAGAGAGGGCCCAGAAGCCAACCGGAGGCAGCAGUGGGGAAUAUUGCGCAAUGGGCGGAAGCCAGAUGCAGAAACGCCGCGUGCGGGAUGACCGCCUUCGGGUGGUAAACCGCUUUCGCCUGUGACGAAGAGUGAGUGACGGUAAUGGGUAAAGAAGCACCGGCUAACUACGUG